CCCUCACACCCGGCGCUGGCAGCGCGGGCAGCGGGACCUCGAGGCUCUCACGGGCUCGGUUAGCCUCUGUCACCGCCCCAGCAGCAGUUCUCUCGAGUUAAGGACCAGAGGAAGUUGGUUAACAACCGGCUUUUGGGAACAAGAGAGCUCCAUUCUCCCUGGACCUUCAGAGUGCAGCCCUGUCCUAGAGAGGUGUCAGGAACUUAGCCACCAGCUUCUGAAGGAAUUUGGAGGCAGUACCAAGACCAGCAUCCUGGUGCUCCUGUUUAUGUUCAUGCAGAAUGGAAGGUUACCAGCACUGAGCAGAAAUGCCUGUCAUUUUGUGUUCGUAUGAAAGCUAGUCCCAGAAUCCAAACU